UUUGGGAUUUCCACAUUAGCUGCCCUCUCUCCUUGCUCAGCACUGUGCAAUAAUAAAAUUCCUACUUUCUUCCACUACACCCGAUGUUGGAGAUUGGCUUGCUGCACAAGGGGUGAGCGAACUCACUUCAGGUUCAUUAUCAUCAGGAUACAAGUUCCAAGUAAGAUGCUGCAAGCACCCUCCAUUUUGCCUCUCCUACUGAGUGUAUCUACAAAUCCUGGACAUAAUGCAUGGAGCAACCAUUUGAGGACUCUGAAAAGUAGGUAGAAGCUGAUGGAUUGUAGAAGAAGACCAGAAGUAGAAGUACUCUGAAUGGGUGAUAAUCUCCUGGGACAAUUCUAGAUACCUCUCAGCUCUCUGGAGCAACAACUGGCCUUGAGGACAAUGGAACCAUGAAUUUGGGUUGCUGCGGCCUUUGACCUUGCAGGACAUAGACCUGGCAGCCCAGGAGCCUGUGCUUGUAUCCUGGGGCUUUGGCUCGGGGGGCCCUGGGCAUCCUGGAAGGUGAUCCACUCUGGCUGGGCAUAUGUGUAGUUCCCUCCCCAAACCGGGCCCUUGCACCUGUUGGGACCGAGUCUGGUCCCUCACUCCUUGCCAGUGCCUGGGACAAAUCACAGUCUCAGUGUGACUCUGACCAUUGUGUCAGGGGAAGUUUCCAUGAAGAUUCAGGUUUGCUUCGUAAGUGGUGUGAGCCGGACUCUGUAAUGAAGAGUGUCGAUGGAGUCCCUGAAAUGCCUGGUCAACCAUUUGUUUGUUGGCACUAUCUGGUCCUUAGCUUCAGGCUUCAGGAUGCCGGGUGGAGAGGUCAUCUCCUUAAUGCACUUGUGGCAAAAUUGCUUAGACGUGGUCUCUGGAGAUUGACCCGAUGUGAGCCAGGGCAGGAGGGCAAGGGUGGGAUGGCAGAGUAGCCUGUUUCCGGGUGACACAGGCGGCCCAUGUGGGCCAAUGGGCAUCUACCGUGCUGAGAUACAUUAUUCAAGUGGGAUGGGGGAUCCUGAGGUUUAUAGCCAAAAUAACAAUUAUAAUUAUGAUUAUCAUAAAUUUUUUUAUAUGUGUAAAUUAGGUAACCUUAAGUGGAAAACAUAGACUAUCAUAAAUUAUUUGUCGUCGUUAGUGCCAUGGAGUUGAUAUCACUUCUAGCCAGCCUGGGUACAGCAAAGGGGAACCCUACCCAGUCUUUUUGCACCAUCCUCUCACCUUCCAGCACUGUAUGACACAAUGCUCCUCUGCAAUUCAUAGGAUUUUCAUGGCCAAUUUUUUUGGAAGUGGGUGGCCAGGUCCCUCUUCCUAGUCUGUCUUAGUCUGGAAGCUCUGCUGAAACCUGUCCACCAUGGGUGACCCUGCUGGUAUUGGAAAUAGCAUAGCUUUCAGCAUCACAGCAACAUGCAGCUGCCACAGAAUGACAACUAACAGACAGGUGAUAUAGUUCCCUGACAGGGAAAUCAUAAGUUAUACAUCUAGGUAAAAAAUAAACAAAUGUAAACAAUUAUAAUUUCAUCAGUAUUAUUCAUCAUCAUUGUAAUUAUUACCUUUUUUAUUGUUACUAUUACUUUUUCAGGUUUGGUAGUUGUAGCAGCAACAGAAGCAGCUGCAGCAGCAAGAAGAAAACAUUCCAUAAAGUUUCUCAAUCCAAAAAAAACCCCUAGUUUAUCUAUUUAAAUUUAAUUUAAUAAUCUAGCUAGUCAUUUAAGAUUCAUGGCUUGGAUAAUAUAACUGAUACUUCCGAAUGAAAUAUUUGAGCUUAGUUCAAGACCUGGGAAAGGAAGUUGAGACAAGUAUCCUAACAGUGGAGAAAAAGAGUGUCUGGACAUAACAGCUCAUCAGCCAUCACUGUCAUUCCCCGGGCACAAGUCUGUCCUCUCACUCUGUCAAACAUUAAGGAAAGCGGAAAACUGGGAUGAGAAAGUCCUAACUCUCCCUACUUCUCCAUAAUCAGCAAACAAAUUCCAUGAGUGGAGGAUGAUCAGAUGGAAAUUUGACAGUGCUCACCUGGGAUAAUGCCAGCCCUCAUACCAGGUAGUAAAUGAGGAUCGUUCCAUGAAAUAAUCUUACAACGCAAGGCUGGUUUUCUAUAAAAUGUGUAAAAUUAGCUGUAGACAGAAGAAUUUUUUAAAUCUCUCUUAUUUCCUUGUCUUUUUUCAUUCCCUCUUCUUGCCUUUUUUCCCCUCUGUGCCCAAGAUGUGUAUCACUGUCUCUUUCCUCACAAGCAGACAGAUUCAUUUCUUGGGGACAAAUCAAAUAAUUUCUAAUAUGUUAUAAGCCUUCAUUCUAUUUCUUCUAGCUUUUUAGUUCUAAUUAUACUGGAGAUUAUAAAUGCGCUUAGAAGUUCUUUAAAUUUUUAAAAGAUAGAGAACAGUACCUAGAAGAAAAUAACAAUUACUCAACACCCAGGUUUAUCCACUCUUAAAAGCUUAUCCUUCUGGAUCAAAGUUAUCUUUUUUAUUCACUCCCUUGUUUCUAUAAGCAUUACAUAUACUCAUUAUAAAGAAUCAGACAAUGCAGAAAGUACAAAACACCUACAAAUCACCCAGAAACAGCUACUGAAAAAUUAUCAUCAAUACCUUUAGUUACAUAUCAUCUUAACUAACUUUUUGGAAUACGUAGAGAUAGAAAAGAGGAAAUGUGCAAGAUAGACUGGUAGGUAAAUCACUGAGCAGAUAGAUAGAGAGAUGCUAGGAAUAUUUUUGUUAAAAUGGGAUCAGAAUAAAGAGAGUUUUUUAAAUUAAAAACAUUUCAUUUAUUUUUUACUUGAAGAAAAGAUGAAACUCAAAAAAAUUGAACUUUGAAUAUUUCUUUACUACAAGAAAUAUUAUUUCCUAAAGAAUCUCGUCAAGGUUGAAAUGAAGAAAAACAAAACACUAAUAGUUCAUAGUUAUUUGAACUCUGUUUCUAUUUCUGCUGACCCCUUGCUUUGAAGGAUGAAGAUUUUAGUGCUCUCACGGGUCUUCUCAUCUUCUCUCAAGCACCUCAAACAUUUGUGUUAGUUAUACUGUCAUGUUAACGUAUAUCUCAGCUUUAUAUGAUAACAUAUCCCACUUUUCAUCUUCUGUUCUGUAUCCAUUUAUAGCAUCUUCUUGGGCUCGAUAUUUUUAACUUGUCUUUUAAGACUGCAUGGUCUCUGUUUUGUUGUUUGUUUUUAAUCCUGAGACUUUGUUAUUUGUUCCAUACUCAGGAUUCUACGUCACUAGAGUUGCCAGAUCUAGCAAAGAAGAACACAAGAUACACAGUUAAAUUUGAACUUUAGAUAAGCAGUAUGUCUUUUUCGUAUAAAUAUGUCCCAUGCAAUAUUUCCGGUAUACCUAUUCUAAAAUAAUAUUCAUUCUUUAUCUGAAAUUCAAAUUUAACUACAUAUCCUGUAGCAAAUAAAAAUAUGACAGUUAAAUUUGAAUUUCAGAUAAACAGUGAAUAAUCGUUUAGCAUAAGCAUUUUGUCUGGCAGCCCUAAACCCCACCAAGUUUGGAGCAGGGUAGAGAGGAGGGGUAGGCAAUUCCUAUGGGAGAAAUACCAUUGAACUUCGGAUCCUUUCCCCAAAUCUGAAUAUAGCCCUAGAACUUCAAUUCAAAAGGCCUCUUAUUUCCUUUCCCUUCAUUCCUACCAGUAGGGGUCUCCACUAUGCUUCCUCAGGACUAAGGGGGAAGAAAAUGAUCAGCAUUCUGUUUCGCUGCAAGUUUGGGGAUGUUAGUGGAUAUCCUCCCCUUGCUAGGAGGGCUUCUGGGCUUGAGGUUAGCGGGAGGAAGCAUGCCAGGCUGUGCUUUUAUGUUUCAUUUUUUACUGAAUGGUUUUGGUUUUUGUUUAUUUGUUUGCUGUGGUUUUUAAUUAAAUUAUGCUAUUUACCCUA
rnacentral:lncRNA from 1 species